GAUGAACGCUGGCGGCGUGCCUAAUACAUGCAAGUCGAGCGAGCGGACGAGAAGCUUGCUUCUCUGAUGUCAGCGGCGGACGGGUGAGUAACACGUGGAUAACCUACCUAUAAGACUGGGAUAACUUCGGGAAACCGGAGCUAAUACCGGAUAAUAUUUUGAACCGCAUGAUUCAAAAGUGAAAGACGGUCUUGCUGUCACUUAUAGAUGGAUCCGCGCUGCAUUAGCUAGUUGGUAAGGUAACGGCUUACCAAGGCAACGAUGCAUAGCCGACCUGAGAGGGUGAUCGGCCACACUGGAACUGAGACACGGUCCAGACUCCUACGGGAGGCAGCAGUAGGGAAUCUUCCGCAAUGGGCGAAAGCCUGACGGAGCAACGCCGCGUGAGUGAUGAAGGUCUUCGGAUCGUAAAACUCUGUUAUUAGGGAAGAACAUAUGUGUAAGUAACUGUGCACAUCUUGACGGUACCUAAUCAGAAAGCCACGGCUAACUACGUG
rnacentral:rRNA from 1 species